UACGGGGGGGGGCAAGCGUUGUUCGGAAUUACUGGGCGUAAAGGGCUCGUAGGCGGCCAACUAAGUCAGACGUGAAAUCCCUCGGCUUAACCGGGGAACUGCGUCUGAUACUGGAUGGCUUGAGUUCGGGAGAGGGAUGUGGAAUUCCAGGUGUAGCGGUGAAAUGCGUAGAUAUCUGGAGGAACACCGGUGGCGAAGGCGGCAUCCUGGACCGACACUGACGCUGAUGAGCGAAAGCGUGGGGAGCAAACAGG
rnacentral:rRNA from 1 species